UACGAAGGGGGCUAGCGUUGCUCGGAAUUACUGGGCGUAAAGCGCACGUAGGCGGCUUCUUAAGUCGGUGGUGAAAUCCUGGAGCUCAACUCCAGAACUGCCUUCGAUACUGGGGAGCUCGAGUCCGGGAGAGGUGAGUGGAACUGCGAGUGUAGAGGUGAAAUUCGUAGAUAUUGGGAGGAACACCAGUGGCGAAGGCGGCUCACUGGACCGGUUCUGACGCUGAUGCGCGAAAGCGUGGGGAGCAAACGGG
rnacentral:rRNA from 1 species